rnacentral:rRNA from 1 species
GUYUUUUUGUUAAAAAUUUAAAGUCGGGCCUGCCCACUGAAAAUUUAAAUGGCCGUGGUAUUUUGACCGUGCUAAGGUAGCAUAAUCAUUAGUUUUUUAAUUGAAAGCUGGAAUGAAGGGUUUGAUAAAAAAAUGACUGUCUCUAUUUAAUUUUAUUAAAAUUUUAUUUUUAAGUUCAAAAGCUUAAUUUAUGUUAAAAGACGAGAAGACCCUAUAGAGUUUAAUAAUAAAAAUUAAUUUUUAUUUUAGAAUUAAUUUAUUUAUUUUUUAAUAUUAUUUAGUUGGGGUGAUUGAAAAAUUUAAUUAACUUUUUUUAUAUUAAAUCAUUAAUUUAUGAGUAUUUGAUCCAAUUUUUUUGAUUAUAAGAUAAAAUUACCUUAGGGAUAACAGCGUAAUUUUUUUAGAAAGUUCAAAUUAAAAAAAAAGAUUGCGACCUCGAUGUUGGAUUAAAAUUAAAUUUUGGUGUAGAAGCUAAAAAUUUAAGUCUGUUCGACUUUUAAAAUUUUACA